rnacentral:other from 1 species
CUCUGCGGUGUACGAGACUGCCUAACAUAUUUUCCGCCUUAAUGAGAAUAUUACGGGAGCUCGGGCGUCUGUUGUGGCUGUCAGGCCGUGUACGACGGAAGACAAAAGCAGCGGAGAGAGCACCCACCUUGCUAUGCGAGGUCGAGAAAUAGACUCGGCAAGACGGCACGUGUGGGGGU